GCAACGUUCUCAAGCUCUCUGCAACAUUCUUCACAGUUCGUUACCGCCUUUCCUCUCUGUUCAUGCUUCCAUACUCGGCUGGUAACCGUCUUCUCUUCGCGUCGUCGCCGUCUUUCGCUUCCUUAUGCUCUUCUUCGAUCCUUGAGUUGCAUCCGCCGUGUGUAGCGCAGCAAUACGGCGGCCACCAGACUCCGAUCCGCCUUCCGAGAAGGAUCCGUUCGUCUAAUAGGUAGGAAAUUUUGCUCAAUACGUUUUAAAUAUGUCGUAAAUCAUACCGGAAAAAAAUUAUCGCAUUUGGAGCGUGCGAUUCUGAUGCAUGUGCAGCUACUCUUUGGAAUUUCUCAUUUAGUAUGUGAGCAGAGCAAAUGCCAAUUAUGAAGAAAUUCGUAAACUAAAUCUGAGUAUCCAUGUUUAGCUGUAAGUGGAAAGGCAUUUUCCGCAUCCAUGACAGUUGUUUUAUUGGAAGAGUAAUGGCUGUUUUUAGGAUUCAAAUUCAGUUCCGCGUGUAAGAUGAAGGAAGAGUGUAUUCUAUUCUAGCCCCUUAUAUAGCUGCUGGCGAUUUUUGGUCUUUAAAGGGAAUGUUAGUCCUUCAGAUCCUAUUGCGUUAAUUGCUGCUGCUGCUGCUGCUAAAAGAGAUCUGCCAAUGAAAAUCAUGGAAGAAAGGGACUCAACGCUCUGUUUGCAAAAUCCGUUCACAGUCCAACUUUCUGACCAGCCUUAAUACUAAUCAAUUCACACAGCUAAUGGAGAUGGGUUGAAGAUGGUUGGGAGGGAUUCUGAUGUUGGCUAACUAAGGAGAUAUUAUGAAUUUAUAAAUAAGGAAUAUAUU